CAACUUUCUUGAAGUAAAUUCUGCUGGGAGGGAGCUGCCCAAGUUCAGCCUGCCUGUGCUCAGCUCAAUGAGUGCUUUCCAGCAGCCUUGAAUUUCCAAGGGUUUCUCUGCUGGUCUUAAAGGUCUCUGUGAGCAGGGAACGUGCUGGCUGAGCAAGUCUCUGAGAAGAUAAUUCAACCAGGCUGUUGGAAGAUGUUGACUAAUUCCCAAUUGUUGCAAAAUCUGUGAAGAUCUAACGUCCCUGCAGGAAAUGCACGUCCCAGUGACCUCAUGGUACCCAAGGGCCAACCCCCUUCCAACUGGCCCUCUUUAAUGAGCCUUGCAAGUCCAGGUUGCCUAUAAUGCUUUACAAUUAUGAAGGAUAAUGCUACCAGGAAUAUCUUCAUCUGUGUGGCUUUUUCAUGGUCUGAAGCAUUCCUUCAAGAUCCAUGCUCUGAUAUUGUGAGACUGCCAGGAGCUUUGAUACACUGCACCAAACUGUUUGACCAGAGUUGAAGCAUUUAAUAAGGAUCCCGACAACAAACAAAACAGCCAGCUAGCACACUAAGGCC
rnacentral:lncRNA from 1 species